rnacentral:rRNA from 1 species
CACGUAGGGUGCGAGCGUUGUCCGGAAUUAUUGGGCGUAAGGAGCUCGUAGGCGGUGUGUCGCGUCGGCCGUGAAAACCUGCAGCUUAACUGUGGGCUUGCGGUCGAUACGGGCAUCACUGGAGUUCGGCAGGGGAGACUGGAAUUCCUGGUGUAGCGGUGAAAUGCGCAGAUAUCAGGAGGAACACCGGUGGCGAAGGCGGGUCUCUGGGCCGAAACUGACGCUGAGGAGCGAAAGCGUGGGGAGCAAACAGG